AUUGAACGCUGGCGGCAGGCCUAACACAUGCAAGUCGAGCGGAUGAAGGGAGCUUGCUCCUGGAUUCAGCGGCGGACGGGUGAGUAAUGCCUAGGAAUCUGCCUGGUAGUGGGGGAUAACGUCCGGAAACGGGCGCUAAUACCGCAUACGUCCUGAGGGAGAAAGUGGGGGAUCUUCGGACCUCACGCUAUCAGAUGAGCCUAGGUCGGAUUAGCUAGUUGGUGGGGUAAAGGCCUACCAAGGCGACGAUCCGUAACUGGUCUGAGAGGAUGAUCAGUCACACUGGAACUGAGACACGGUCCAGACUCCUACGGGAGGCAGCAGUGGGGAAUAUUGGACAAUGGGCGGAAUCCUGAUCCAGCCAUGCCGCGUGUGUGAAGAAGGUCUUCGGGUUGUAAAGCACUUUAAGUUGGGAGGAAGGGCAGUAAGUUAAUACCUUGCUGUUUUGACGUUACCAACAGAAUAAGCACCGGCUAACUUCGUG
rnacentral:rRNA from 1 species